ACGCUCGACACCUACGGGGGCAGCAGUGGGGAAUAUUGCACAAUGGGGGAAACCCUGAUGCAGCGACGCCGCGUGGAGGAAGAAGGUCUUCGGAUUGUAAACUCCUGUUGUUGGGGAAAAAAGAGGAUGGUACCCAACAAGGAAGUGACGGCUAACUACGUACCAGCAGCCGCGGUAAUCUGAGCGGGCUGGCAAGGC
rnacentral:rRNA from 1 species